UACGUAGGCAGCAAGCGUUGUUCGGAAUUACUGGGCGUAAAGAGUGUGUAGGCGGUGCUCUAAGUUUGGUGUGAAAUCUCCCGGCUCAACCGGGAGGCUACAUCGAAUACUGGAAUGCUAGAGGGUGGGAGAGGUAAGCGGAAUUCCUGGUGUAGCGGUGAAAUGCGUAGAUAUCAGGAAGAACACCCGUGGCUAAGGCGGCUCUCUAGUACGGUACUGACGCUGAGACGCGAAAGCGUGGGGAGCGAACAGG
rnacentral:rRNA from 1 species